AAGGAUUUAAGUUAAAAUAAACUUGUAGCCUUCAAAGCUUCUAAUAAAGAAUCUCUUUAAGCCUUA
rnacentral:tRNA from 1 species